UACAGAGGUCUCAAGCGUUGUUCGGAUUCAUUGGGCGUAAAGGGUGUGUAGGUGGCGCCGUAAGUCGGGUGUGAAAUUUCGGAGCUUAACUCCGAAACUGCAUUCGAUACUGCAGUGCUUGAGGACUGGAGAGGAGACUGGAAUUCAUGGUGUAGCAGUGAAAUGCGUAGAGAUCAUGAGGAAGACCAGUGGCGAAGGCGGGUCUCUGGACAGUUCCUGACACUGAGACACGAAGGCCAGGGGAGCAAACGGG
rnacentral:rRNA from 1 species